rnacentral:rRNA from 1 species
AGUCAACCUAACUUAUGGACGGGGAUAACCUCGGGAAACUGAGAAUAAUACCCGAUAGGUCAUGAUGCCUGGAAUGGUUUAUGACUCAAAUAAUUUAUUGCCAUAGGAUGGGACUGCGAGCUAUCAGCUUGUUGGUGAGGUAAUGGCCCACCAAGGCUAUUACAGCUACGGGCUCUGAGAGGAGUAGCCCGGAGAUGGGUACUGAGACAAGGACCCAGGCCCUAUGGGGCGCAGCAGGCGAGAAAACUUUGCAAUGCGCGAAAGCUCGACAAGGUUAAUCUGAGUGGUUCCUGCUAAAGGAACCUUUUGUUAGUCGUAGAACCACUGAUGAAUAAGGGGUGGGCAAGUUCUGGUGUCAGCCGCCGCGGUAAAACCAGCACCUCAAGUGGUCAGGAUGAUUAUUGGGCCUAAAGCAUCCGUAGCCUGUUCUGUAAGUUUUCGGUUAAAUCUAUGCGCUCAACGUAUAGGCUGCCGAAAAUACUGCAGAACUAGGAGUGGGAGAGGUAGACGGUACUCGGUAGGAAGGGGUAAAAUCCUUUGAUCUAUUGAUGACCACCUGUGGCGAAGGCGGUCUACCAGAACACGUUCGACGGUGAGGGAUGAAAGCUGGGGGAGCAAACCGGAUUAGAUACCCGGGUAGUCCCAGCUGUAAACGAUGCAAACUCGAUGAUGCGUUGGCUUGUUGCUAGCGCAGUGUCGCAGGGAAGCCGUUAAGUUUGCCGCCUGGGAAGUACGUACGCAAGUAUGAAACUUAA